GACCAUGUAGCUCAGUUGGCAGAGCAUUGGGCUAGUAUUCCAAAGGUCGUAGGUUCGAUUCCCACUGUGGCCA
rnacentral:tRNA from 1 species